rnacentral:rRNA from 1 species
UUCGCCCUUAGAGUUUGAUCCUGGCUCAGAACGAACGCUGGCGGCGCGCCUAACACAUGCAAGUCGAACGAGCGAGAGAGAGCUUGCUUUCUUGAGCGAGUGGCGAACGGGUGAGUAACGCGUGAGGAACCUGCCUCAAAGAGGGGGACAACAGUUGGAAACGACUGCUAAUACCGCAUAAGCCCACGGCUCGGCAUCGAGCAGAGGGAAAAGGAGCAAUCCGCUUUGAGAUGGCCUCGCGUCCGAUUAGCUGGUUGGUGAGGUAACGGCCCACCAAGGCGACGAUCGGUAGCCGGACUGAGAGGUUGAACGGCCACAUUGGGACUGAGACACGGCCCAGACUCCUACGGGAGGCAGCAGUGGGGAAUAUUGCACAAUGGGGGAAACCCUGAUGCAGCGACGCCGCGUGGAGGAAGAAGGUCUUCGGAUUGUAAACUCCUGUUGUUGAGGAAGAUAAUGACGGUACUCAACAAGGAAGUGACGGCUAACUACGUGCCAGCAGCCGCGGUAAAACGUAGGUCACAAGCGUUGUCCGGAAUUACUGGGUGUAAAGGGAGCGCAGGCGGGAAGACAAGUUGGAAGUGAAAUCCAUGGGCUCAACCCAUGAACUGCUUUCAAAACUGUUUUUCUUGAGUAGUGCAGAGGUAGGCGGAAUUCCCGGUGUAGCGGUGGAAUGCGUAGAUAUCGGGAGGAACACCAGUGGCGAAGGCGGCCUACUGGGCACCAACUGACGCUGAGGCUCGAAAGUGUGGGUAGCAAACAGGAUUAGAUACCCUGGUAGUCCACACUGUAAACGAUGAUUACUAGGUGUUGGAGGAUUGACCCCUUCAGUGCCGCAGUUAACACAAUAAGUAAUCCACCUGGGGAGUACGACCGCAAGGUUGAAACUCAAAGGAAUUGACGGGGGCCCGCACAAGCAGUGGAGUAUGUGGUUUAAUUCGACGCAACGCGAAGAACCUUACCAAGUCUUGACAUCCUGCGACGGUGCUGGAAACAGUACUUUCCUUCGGGACGCAGAGACAGGUGGUGCAUGGUUGUCGUCAGCUCGUGUCGUGAGAUGUUGGGUUAAGUCCCGCAACGAGCGCAACCCUUAUGGUCAGUUACUACGCAAGAGGACUCUGGCCAGACUGCCGUUGACAAAACGGAGGAAGGUGGGGAUGACGUCAAAUCAUCAUGCCCUUUAUGACUUGGGCUACACACGUACUACAAUGGCGUUAAACAAAGAGAAGCAAGACCGCGAGGUGGAGCAAAACUCAGAAACAACGUCCCAGUUCGGACUGCAGGCUGCAACUCGCCUGCACGAAGUCGGAAUUGCUAGUAAUCGCAGAUCAGCAUGCUGCGGUGAAUACGUUCCCGGGCCUUGCACACACCGCCCGUCA